AGAGUUUGAUCAUGGCUCAGAUUGAACGCUGGCGGCAGGCCUAACACAUGCAAGUCGAGCGGAUGAGUGGAGCUUGCUCCAUGAUUCAGCGGCGGACGGGUGAGUAAUGCCUAGGAAUCUGCCUGGUAGUGGGGGACAACGUUUCGAAAGGAACGCUAAUACCGCAUACGUCCUACGGGAGAAAGUGGGGGAUCUUCGGACCUCACGCUAUCAGAUGAGCCUAGGUCGGAUUAGCUAGUUGGUGAGGUAAAGGCUCACCAAGGCGACGAUCCGUAACUGGUCUGAGAGGAUGAUCAGUCACACUGGAACUGAGACACGGUCCAGACUCCUACGGGAGGCAGCAGUGGGGAAUAUUGGACAAUGGGCGAAAGCCUGAUCCAGCCAUGCCGCGUGUGUGAAGAAGGUCUUCGGAUUGUAAAGCACUUUAAGUUGGGAGGAAGGGCAGUAAGUUAAUACCUUGCUGUUUUGACGUUACCAACAGAAUAAGCACCGGCUAACUUCGUGCCAGCAGCCGCGGUAAUACGAAGGGUGCAAGCGCUAAUCGGAAUUACUGGGCGUAAAGCGCGCGUAGGUGGUUCGUUAAGUUGGAUGUGAAAGCCCCGGGCUCAACCUGGGAACUGCAUCCAAAACUGGCGAGCUAGAGUAUGGCAGAGGGUGGUGGAAUUUCCUGUGUAGCGGUGAAAUGCGUAGAUAUAGGAAGGAACACCAGUGGCGAAGGCGACCACCUGGGCUAAUACUGACACUGAGGUGCGAAAGCGUGGGGAGCAAAC
rnacentral:rRNA from 1 species